CCUACGGGAGGCAGCAGUGAGGAAUAUUGGUCAAUGGGCGCGAGCCUGAACCAGCCAAGUAGCGUGAAGGAUGACUGCCCUACGGGUUGUAAACUUCUUUUAUACAGGAAUAACGUGCGGCACGUGUGCCUUUUUGUCUGUACUUUAUGAAUAAGGACCGGCUAACUCCGUGACAGCAGCCGCGGUAAUACGGAGGAUCCGGGCGUUAUCCGGAUUUAUUGGGUUUAAAGGGAGCGUAGUAGGGGUGUUAAGUCAGGUGUGAAAGUGUGCGGCUCAACCGUAAAAUUGCAGUGGAUACUGGCAGUCUUGAGUGCAGUUGAGGUAGGCGGAAUUCGUGGUGUAGCGGUGAAAUGCUUAGAUAUCACGAAGAACUCCGAUUGCGAAGGCAGCUUACGAAACUGCCACUGACGUUGAUGCUCGAAAGUGUGGGUAUCAAACAGGAGUAGAUACCCCAGUAGUC
rnacentral:rRNA from 1 species